CCCCUGAUAGCUCAGUUGGAAGAGCGUGAGACUGUAAUGGAAACUUGUCAUCUCAAGGUCACUAGUUCGAUCCUGGUUCAGGGGA